rnacentral:rRNA from 1 species
AACGAACGCUGGCGGCAUGCCUAACACAUGCAAGUCGAACGAGACCUUCGGGUCUAGUGGCGCACGGGUGCGUAACGCGUGGGAACCUGCCCUUAGGUUCGGAAUAACUCCCCGAAAGGGGUGCUAAUACCGGAUAAUGUCUUCGGACCAAAGAUUUAUCGCCUUUGGAUGGGCCCGCGUUGGAUUAGCUAGUUGGUAGGGUAAAAGCCUACCAAGGCGACGAUCCAUAGCUGGUCUGAGAGGAUGAUCAGCCACACUGGGACUGAGACACGGCCCAGACUCCUACGGGAAGGAGGAAUGGGGGAAAAUGGACAAUGGGCGAAAGCCUGAUCCAGCAAUGCCGCGUGAGUGAUGAAGGCCUUAGGGUUGUAAAGCUCUUUUACCCGGGAUGAUAAUGACAGUACCGGGAGAAUAAGCUCCGGCUAACUCCGUG